rfam:Faecalibacterium sp. CAG:1138 genomic scaffold, scf30
CGAGUUAGCCGGACGGUCGCAUCGGUUUCGAUGAGGAAAGUCCGAGCAUCACAGGGCAAGAAUGCAGGCUAACGGCCUGCGAAGGCGACUUCAGGGAUAGUGCAACAGAAAUAUACCGCACCGACCUUCGGGAAUGACGACGACUUUAUAAGCAUUUAUAUCCGUCGUCUAUGGUGUAAGGGUGGAACGGCGAGGUAAGAGCUCACCGGCGGCUUGGCGACAAGUCGGCCAUGUAAACCCCAUUCGAUGCAAGAGAAGUCAGACGCAGGGUGGCCCGCCCGUCUGCAAAAUCGCUUGAACGCGCAGGUAACUGCGCGUCUAGACAGAUGACCGUUCAAGACAGAACUCGGCUUACAGACUAAUCUCGCCGC